UGGGGAAUAUUGCACAAUGGGCGAAAGCCUGAUGCAGCGACGCCGCGUGAGGGACGAAGGUCUUCGGAUUGUAAACCUCUUUCAGCAGGGACGAAGCGAAAGUGACUGUACCUGCAGAAGAAGCACCGGCUAACUACGUGCCAGCAGCCGCGGUAAUACGUAGGGUGCAAGCGUUGUCCGGAUUUAUUGGGCGUAAAGAGCUCGUAGGCGGUUCGUCACGUCGGAUGUGAAAACCUGGGGCUUAACCCCGGGCCUGCAUACGAUACGGGAGAACUAGAGUUCGGUAGGGGAGACUGGAAUUCCAGGUGUAGCGGUGAAAUGCGCAGAUAUCAGGAGGAACACCGGUGGCGAAGGCGGGUCUCUGGGCCGAUACUGACGCUGAGGAGCGAAAGCGUGGGGAGCAAACA
rnacentral:rRNA from 1 species